rnacentral:rRNA from 1 species
AUUGAACGCUGGCGGCAGGCCUAACACAUGCAAGUCGAGCGGAUGAAGGGAGCUUGCUCCUGGAUUCAGCGGCGGACGGGUGAGUAAUGCCUAGGAAUCUGCCUGGUAGUGGGGGAUAACGUCCGGAAACGGGCGCUAAUACCGCAUACGUCCUGAGGGAGAAAGUGGGGGAUCUUCGGACCUCACGCUAUCAGAUGAGCCUAGGUCGGAUUAGCUAGUUGGUGGGUAAAGGCCUACCAAGGCGACGAUCCGUAACUGGUCUGAGAGGAUGAUCAGUCACACUGGAACUGAGACACGGUCCAGACUCCUACGGGAGGCAGCAGUGGGGAAUAUUGGACAAUGGGCGAAAGCCUGAUCCAGCCACGCCGCGUGUGUGAAGAAGGUCUUCGGAUUGUAAAGCACUUUAAGUUGGGAGGAAGGGCAGUAAGUUAAUACCUUGCUGUUUUGACGUUACCAACAGAAUAAGCACCGGCUAACUUCGUG